UUCUCCUCCAAAUGAAAGUGUUUCUACCACUUGAGAAAUUUCACUUCUGAAAUGAUGUGAUACAGUUUUUCAGGCCUCACACAGCAAGAAUACCUGGCCCCUGAAGAAAUCUCUGGUCGAUUUCGCCCACUGUUGGAGAAUUUCAUUGGGUGCAGUGCUAAAGAAGCCCACAGUAUUAUCAGCUUGGUUGCAAAAUGAUGUUUUCCAAAGGACAAGUGUGUCAAAAGGAGAAGCCACUUA